rnacentral:rRNA from 1 species
AUUACCGCGGCUGCUGGCACGUAGUUGGCCGGUGCUUCUUCUGCAGGUACCGUCACUUUCGCUUCGUCCCUGCUGAAAGAGGUUUACAACCCGAAGGCCGUCAUCCCUCACGCGGCGUCGCUGCAUCAGGCUUUCGCCCAUUGUGCAAAAUUCCCCACUGCUGCCUCCCGUAGG